rnacentral:rRNA from 1 species
AGACCCGAAACCCGGUGAUCUAGCCAUGGGCAGGUUGAAGGUUGGGUAACACUAACUGGAGGACCGAACCGACUAAUGUUGAAAAAUUAGCGGAUGACCUGUGGCUGGGGGUGAAAGGCCAAUCAAACCGGGAGAUAGCUGGUUCUCCCCGAAAGCUAUUUAGGUAGCGCCUCGUGAAUUCAUCUCCGGGGGUAGAGCACUGUUUCGGCUAGGGGGCCAUCCCGGCUUACCAACCCGAUGCAAACUGCGAAUACCGGAGAAUGUUAUCACGGGAGACACACGGCGGGUGCUAACGUCCGUCGUGAAGAGGGAAACAACCCAGACCGCCAGCUAAGGUCCCAAAGUCAUGGUUAAGUGGGAAACGAUGUGGGAAGGCCCAGACAGCCAGGAUGUUGGCUUAGAAGCAGCCAUCAUUUAAAGAAAGCGUAAUAGCUCACUGGUCGAGUCGGCCUGCGCGGAAGAUGUAACGGGGCUAAACCAUGCACCGAAGCUGCGGCAGCGACGCUGAUGCGUUGUUGGGUAGGGGAGCGUUCUGUAAGCCUGUG